rnacentral:tRNA from 2 species
ACUCCUUUAGUAUAAUCAGUACAAUUGACUUCCAAUCAAUAAGAUUCGGACGGAACCGAAAAAGAGUA